GUCAUCUAUUCGAUAUUGUGCCGCACACAGUCCUAAAACCACCCCAAACUCUCUCAUUCAUCAACCAGCAAAUGUCAUCGGGGAAUUCGAAGGUGAACCAUUCUUUCGUGCGAAAGGUACAACUCCAUCAAAUAAACCUGCAGUCGUAUGAGUGAACAAAAAACAUUCUUUAGCCCUGCAGUCGUAGGGAUGGCAAUAUAUUCUACACCAUCGAAUACUUGAUCUGCAACAUAAUCAAAA
rnacentral:lncRNA from 1 species